AAAGAAAGACAAAAGCUUACACUGUAGAGAGGCAAGAGAAGAGUACCACUGAACCACUGCACUGAUCCUUUCUAUCACAAAUUCUCAAUCAAGAAACCAAACACAAAGCCAUGAACACGAGCUUCUCAAUGGGAAUCUCUUAUCUUUUACACACUCACUUCUUCUUCUUCUUCUUCUUCUUCUUCCCAACCUCUUUCUUUUCAUGUGAAGAAGAACAUCAAUAAUAAUGAAAUGACCGGGAGGAGGAGAGUGGUUUCUGCUUGUAUGGGUCAAGAGGAUCCAAAGGACAUUGUUUUCAGCAAGAAGAGAGCUGUUCUUUUUUGGGUAUUUCAGUUCUUCCUUUCUUGCAACUCAGGGCCAGAGCUCUUGAAGGUCUUGUUACAAGUGAGUUUAAUUUCUUGGUUUUUGGUAUUAGAGAUAUGGAGUUUUGUUCUUCAUUUUUUAAAAAUUGUUGUACAUGGCCAAAUGGGUUUUCUCUUUUUAUCCCAUGUCUUCAAUUAGUGGAUAACAAGUGGUUUGAUGCGAAUGUGCUCUUGCUGUCGAUUAUUACUUGGUUCUUGUCCUGUAUGUGGUCUUUAGCGCAAUUGCGUGAAGCAUCUUGCUUUGCUACCUACACCUUCCUUUGGGCGAGGUCAGAUCUAGAGAGGAAUUUUAUGAAUAUAUAUCAAGAAAUUUUAUGUAUUAUAGCCUUUAGUUUAUUGUUGUUUUUCCCGAGGAUCCUACCGAGUGCAGGACGCCAAACCCACAUGGGUCCUGCACCAGGCAGGACGUAAAGCAAUUGUUGGCCUACACACACUUUGGGUCCUGUUGAUGGGUUAAUAUUUUUCAAUUUAGUCCUUCUACUUGUCUCAUGUUACUUGAGUAAGUCUUUCCGUUCAUAUGCAGAUGUUAAGUAUUUAGUUGACUUGUCAAAUGAAACCCAUCGUUUAAGUUUUCUCUUGUAAAUAGGAUUAAGUUGCUAUUAAUUAAUACUAAAUUUUAAUUGUAAAAUCAUGAUAAAUGAAAGACUUAUUUAAAUAACAAAGUACAUGUAGAAAUAUCACAUACAGAAAAGAAAAUUAAUUUAAUUUAGGGGAGAUAACAUUAAAAAACAGCGAAAGGAGAGUAACUUUUGAUUUAAUUAAUCACUUUUAAAGACAGUAAGCACAUCACAUAGCCAUAUAUGAAGGGGAAAAGGGAAGAAAAACAUUCUUCAUAUGAUCUAGUGGGGUCUGUCCAGUAUACCACACUGUUUUUCUUGUAGUACAGGUGGCAGCUCCCUAGACAAAGGGGACCAUUGCACGCUCGCUGUUAUGUAACUGAAUGAAAAGGCCUCCAACUCUCUGAAUCAAUCCUCUCCUCGCACUAUAACAGUGGAGGCAGCGACAGCAUCUCUGAUUCAGAGAGUCCUCAGCAAAAGAUUUCUGACCGCCGAUACAAGGAGGACUUUGAGGAGAUUCAUUGUCCGGGUAAAACUUAUGUUGUUCUUGUUUUUUAUAGUUUGGUUGUUUGUAGAAUAUUCUUGUUUAUUUUUUUAUAUAUAGAUCAUGGUACAUAUGAAAGAGUAAUGAAGUGUUAACAUAAACUUGAUCAUAUGGAAUAUGCAGUAAAGAAAAUCAAAAUUGGUUACCAUGACAGAGAAGUGAUAUUAAGAGAAGCAUCUACUCAUGCUAAGAUGCAUCACAAAAAUAUUGUGCGCUACCAUCAGGUAUUUUUUGUGAUGCAUCUGACCAUGAGUAGAUGCUUCUCUGCACAUUACAACAUAACAAAUCUUUUAGCGUGUAAUAAUCACCCAUUAAAGGAAAGAGUUAUAAAAGCUAACCUUAAAAUAAAAUAAAACAACACAGUACAGCACAACACAACACAGAUAAAAUAAAAACAAGAGAUACCUUAAUAUCACUUCUCUGUCAUGGUAACCAAUUUUGAUUUUCUUUACAGCAUAUUCUAUAUGAUCAAGUUUAUGUUUACAUUUCAUUACUGUUCCAUAUAUACCAUGGCUUAUGUACAAAAAAAUAAAUAAGAAUAUUCUAAAAAUAGGCAAACUAUGAAAAACAAGAACAACGUAAGUUUUACCUAGACAUUUAAUCUCCUCAAGAAAAUGUCUUUUAGCUGUAUUUUGGGAGGGCAGAGAGAGGUUAUGUUCGAUUACAUAGAACAUGCCUUCUAAACUCAAUUGAAAAAAGAAAAAAAUACAGAGAGAGAGAGAGAGAGAUCAGAGAUCUAGAAUAUUGAAUACCAAACUCUGCAAGAUCUAGACCAGCAGAACUUGAGCCAUGCAUGUCAUGAAGAGUUGUUUAUACAGAUGGAGUGCUGUCCAAUGUGAGACAAAUUGUUGAAGGAUUACGCUUCAUCCAUACAAAUCAAUUUGUUCACAGAAACCUUGCCACAAAAUACAUUUUUGUGGGAGCUUCCCAGGACGAGAAGGGGAUCAAAAUAGAAGAUUUCGGAAUUAGUGAACAGUUUAAAUUUGAAUGUGAAUCUACUUGAUCAAUCUUAGCUUUUAUUGUUCCAAGUUGAUUGUUUAUUUCUUAUUAAUUUUUUUUUGGCAACGGCAUUUUGUAAGAAAAGUAAAAAAAUUCAAGUUGACGCUCAAGGAAACAAAACUUAAAAGGCUCCUGAGGGAAAGGGACCCAUCGAUGCAAAAGCAGAAAUAUACAGUUUAUGAAUUAUUGUGUUCAUGCUGCUGCACCCUCACAAUAUCCGGCACAGAAAGAAAAUAGAAUUUAGAUAAAUUGAAAAGCAUAGAAUUUUCGAAUGAUUGGGAAAAUGAGCGGUACAAAUCUCUUAUCCGGACAUGAUGUCUGUAAACCCUGAAGACCGUCCUUCUGCUGAAGAAGUUUUGCCCUGAGUUCAGGUAAUAUAUUAACCAACUCCAAGGGCAUCGUCAACUGUAUUUUUUUUCCAACCUUUUAUAGGACUGUCAUUUUAUUUUCAUAUUUACUUCAUCAAAUACUAGCUAAUAUCAUUCUUUGCUUUCAUCAAAGGAUCUCUCUCUCCUCUUCGAGUUAUGCUCGUUAUGCAUGCCUGCCCUACGCCUGUCAGUUGGGUUAUUGAAGUACAAGUAACUGCACUUUUCAUAUGACAUUGAUUCUCUAUUUAUGAUAAAUAUGUUUGGCAGUGCAAUGAGUCUGUGGAAGGCAAUAAAGAAGAGCAGGAGACGAGGAAAAAUGUUGAUAAGGAGGAGAUUGAAACUGUUGGAGAGGAUGGCGCAGAGGAGGCUUGAGCUUAGGCGAUAGCAGUGAAUUAGGAAUGUUCAAAGCAGGAUCAAAAUGCUUGCCAUCACAAAUUUUACUUCAGGGGGGCUGCAUGGCAGUCAAGUGUUCAGUCUGAUUGUCGAGCAGUGAGGUGCUUCAUGUCUGUCGGAGUGCCAUGUUGUUUUUAUCAAAGUGUGAUAUGUUCAAACACUGCAACAGAGGCAAAAUGAUGUGUAGCAAUUCAUCUCAUGUGGCAAAAUGCCUCAGCAGAAUUAUUUUGGAAAGCAUGACUGAUGGUUAUGAAAGUGAAAACCAAUUCUGUUCGUAUAUCCUAGCUCUUUAAAACCUUAUCUGUGUAUCUCUUUAAAAGAAUAAGGGUCGAAUCAGAGGAAAUAAUAUUUCUAUGAGGAUUUGAAUUAAAGAGUUCUCCUUGCAAAAGAUCCUUUAAGAUUUAAUGUUCUUCUCUAACUGAAAGCCCAUACCCUCAGGUUACCAAGUAGAGAUGCCCUGUACGAUGAUUUGACAAUGGCUAUGGCAUUUGUUUUGAUCAUCUGAACUUCACCAAACGGUGCUUAGGCUGAUGGGUGAAAUUUUUUAAUGUCAUUUGCAAGACUGAUGGGUAAAAAUGAAGAUAUUAGGAUAGUAAAGCUUUUAAUGCAACGAAGCUUGUCUCAUGGUGCAUCAAGUCCCACAUUGUCAAAAAUAUUGGAAGUACUUGUUGACCAUUUCAGUGAGUGGCAUCCUCUUUCCUGAACAUAAAAAAAUUGCAGUUUUGAUUUGCAUGCCAGUCUUUUUAUUCCCCCUUUACACUUCUGCCUCGCUAUGUUGAACUUCACAGACUAUUUAGAAACUUCAAUUCUCAACUGUUAAGGUUCACAAUAGGAGGGGUCCCUGAUCAAGCUGGAAAACCUGUGCUUUUAGGUUAAAAUUUGGUGGGAAAAAGGAACUUUAGGUGUUAAAAUUUGGGUCUGAAGGAAUUAAACUAUGUUGCUGUUUGAUAGAAUGAAUGCUGCAAACAUUUGCAGAAUCCAAAUCUGCAUGGAAACAAGGGAAGAAAUGAUAAGUUUAUGCCAUCACAACUAGGACAAGAAAUCAGUCACACCUUCAUUCAAGCUUCAAACAUCCUGAAAAUUGUUGUUAAUUGACAUUCUAUUAGUUUGAAAGCAUUACAUUGACACAGAGGCAUAACAUUUUUAAUUCUUGGUUUGACCUCAACAUUUAAAUAGAAAAUGCAACUGCACUACUUGAACAAACAAAUCAAAGACCAGAAAUGAAAGGUUUCGCGACAGCAUAUAACUUUGACUUUUUAAAUUUUGGGUUGUGCUGCUUCUUUCUCCAGCAAACCUGGAAUCUACCAUCAUACCUUUGGUCUUUUGGAUAAGAAUUCGCAUACUGAAGCUGAAAUAGCUGCGACUUGACUUAAAUGAGCAAGCAAGGAUUAUUUGGACGAAAUGGACAUUUAAUUGUUUAUGAUCAUUCCUAUUUGUUGGAUAGGAAUUUUUAAUGAAAUAAUAUUGUUGUUUGCAGUGGAA